rnacentral:rRNA from 1 species
GCUGGUAUACAUAGAGACGUGGAACCACCUGAUCCCAUCCCGAACUCAGAAGUGAAACGCGUCAUCGCCGAUGAUAGUGUGGGGCCUCCCCAUGUGAAAGUAGGUCAAUGCCAGCG